GAUUUUUAAAAUUCAAGCUGACCUGGGACAAGUCCUUGGAAAAUCGAUUCCAUUUAAAUUAGAAAUUCAUUUGGUACCCGGGUCGAAUGUUGAAAAAUGUAAUCUUCAAGAAAAGUUGUAUAUUAAUUCAUCAUUCCUGCAUAACAACAAGCAAUGAGCCGAGAUGGAGAAUGUUCCAGUCGACAAAAAAAAUUGGUGAGUUUGAAAAUUCAAAUUUCUAUUAUUAACAUCUAAUUUUAAGUUAUUCUGUUUAGUCUAACAAUAGAUUUAGUAUUUAAAUUAGAUUUAAAAACAAAUUAGAUAUAUUGCCUUAUUUCGUGAUCGUUAUGAUCAUAAUGUUUUCCAUUAGAAACUAAACUAUUUUGCCAGGAAUAGUUCGUGUUGUGAGAACAAAACACAGUAGUGUUAGAUUUAUCCAAUAACAAGUAAGCCACGUAUUUCUUCAAGAGAUGCUUGUUGGGUAAAC